AGAUUGAACGCUGGCGGCAUGCCUUACACAUGCAAGUCGAACGGCAGCACGGGAGCAAUCCUGGUGGCGAGUGGCGAACGGGUGAGUAAUAUAUCGGAACGUGCCCAGUCGUGGGGGAUAACGUAGAGAAAUUUACGCUAAUACCGCAUACGAUCUAAGGAUGAAAGCGGGGGACUCUGCAAAGAGCCUCGCGCGAUUGGAGCGGCUGAUAUCAGAUUAGGUUGUUGGUGAAGGUAAAAGUACGUCUACCAACGACC
rnacentral:rRNA from 1 species